GGAGCAAUUGUAAAGAAAAAUGGAGGGGAGCACUAAGAAGCAAGAAGCAAAGGUGGCAAAUGAGCCAACUGAUUCCACCCUCGAAAAACAGCCAGCCCCAACCCCCCCACAAGGGGAAUCGGAAGCCGAUAGUUCCGAGGAAGAAGUUCCCCAAGAGCUGAAAGUGUGGGGCUACGGAGGGGCCGAAGGGGGGGGCUGCUGGCUGCAGGAGGAGGCCUUGAGCAUUCCUGGAUCGGCGGAGGAGGAUGAGGAGAGUGAGGCUAUCCAAGCCAUGGCGCUCGGGGUGGAAUUACAGUGCAGGCUCCAGCUCCACCUGGAUCAGCUGGAGGCCAAGGCCAAAUCCAGGGCCAGGGCCAGGGCCAGGGCCAGGGCCAGGGCCGCGAUGGCUGCCAGACGGGGCAGCCCGGAACGCGCCCUGGGAGCUUCGGCAAGUCCGGCAGCCGCGGCCCGCCCUCAGCCCUUGGUGGUCCGGGGCAGUCGGGGGGAGCCCCACAUCCGAGCUCAAGAGACGGAGGCCUCCCUGGGGCAGGCCCCUGAGGAAGUCAAACCAGGUGUGAAGGGAGGCCGAGAUCCAUUCGGGGCUCCCGUUCGGAAAACGGGAAAGGGCCCCAGAGGAAAGGAAGCUGCUGCUAAAGCUCGGGAAGGUCCGCCGGCCUCUAAUCCUCCUAGUAUCUGCCAGAGAAGAGAGAACUACCCAAAUCUGGAGCUGAAAGGCUCGGUGAGUGACCCCAGGCGGGCCCUUCCCCACACCCUAAAACGAGCAGGUGACCUGCCCCCCAAUCCCGUCGCUGGUAUUGGGACUUGGGAGAACACGAUCCCUUUUCUGCUUCCCCCUCCCCACCCUAUUGCUCUCUGCCCUGUCUCCCUUGGCCCAUCCUUCUCAGACUUCAAGAAGUAUCUACUCCACAGGUCCCAGAAGGAGCCAUCACCCUGGGGCACACACGUGAGAGCCACGUUCUCAGGGACCCCAGUAGCCAGAAGCCGGGAGAGACCCCAAGUCCGCUCGGGGAGCAGCUGGAGAGGUGAGACCAGGGAGCCCUUCCGCCCGCCCACCACGUGCCUUCCUCAUCUGCUCUUUGCUUCAUCUCUCAAUGAAAAACCCAAGUUGCGCUUGGACAAGACCUCAGCCCGAAGCCCGGCCGAGCUCCCCGGGCCUCCAUUCCCCCUCUUUCAAAGAAGACGAUGACCGUUGGGAUCUUUCCAGCUCAGUGUCUGCUCCUCAUUCUCGGCCUCUUUCCGCCCCUCAGACCCUGCCGCGUGACCUUAGAAAGCCCCUUCCCCUCCCCCCUGUCCCCCUGCCUAACUGUCUCAUCUGUCUCUCUCGGACAUGCUCCGAACACAGGUUGCCCGUAUUUCCCAGCUAGCAUCGGGGUUCCUCUCCCCUCACCUCCAGCACGGAGCCCUAGUGUAUGGCAGGUGCCCCCCGCCAGGAAGGCCAAUGGGGGGGGGGGGGUUUGGCCCCUGCCCCCGGGUUCUCCUGCCCCUGGGUUCAGAUGUGUUUGUGUGCGCUCGCGUGACCCCAGGCAAGUCCCUUCUCUUGAAGCCUCAGUUUCCUCCUUUGCCCCCGGCGAAUGGAGGGGGCUGGGCAUCCACACCCUGGAAGCUCUUUUCCAGCCCUUGCCUCGCGUGUCUGUGCGCGAGUUCGGGCCCACGGCCGUCCCCCGCCGUCGUCAGCACGGCCACUUCUGCCGCCUCGGCCGCACCCCGCAGACUCUCGUGGUGUCCCAUACGUGCGGCCCCCUCCCCCACCCCCGGCACCCGGCCCACACUCCUCCAGAAGCAGAGGAGGCCUCUGUCUACCCCUCUCCACCUUGCGGCCCGUCUGAGCCAGAGACGUCUGCCGGUGGCAGGAAGGAAGAGUCCCAAGCUCCCGGUGAGCGGUCCCGGCCGAGGGAAGGGAGAGAGCGGGGGGACGGGUGACUGCAGAGAUCUCCCGGCCUCCCUGCCCGUGCCGGGGGGCUGCGGAGGGGCACCAGAAACACCUACUUCCUGUCGCCCCUCCUUCCAGGCAAGUCUCCCGCUCCAGGGCCUCCAGCAGAAGAAAAUACAAAGGAAGAGCCUCUAGCGGGAACUGAAGGCCUCGUUCCCACGAGUCCCCACGCAGGUAAGACUGUGACUUUUCCCUUCAUCUGGGUCAGGGAAAACGAGAGACCGAGGUGGAAAGGGCCUCGGAGAUUAGCCCCUCCCUCCCGUGGAGAAACUGAGGCACAGAGCCAAGGAUUGACUUGUUACAGGCCUUGCCUCUUAUUCAGAGCUACAAGCCCCGUUAGAAUCUAAGUACCCUAAAUCUCCAGCCCAAGUAACGAGCACGGAGACUCGGGCGGCAGGAACCUCUAGAUGCUAGUGCUACAGAUCCAGGGGCUGGCCCAGAAACAACAGCACCAAGCAGGGCAAACGUGCAUCCCGGGGAUCGCGAGCACACUAGGGAAGGUCCCGGCUUGGGGACGGGGGCCUCACUCAGCCUUGCUCACUCGCUCGGCCCCUUCCAACUUAGGGAGAGAGGAACCCUGGAGCUUCAGUCCACAGUUCCCUCCCCCACCCCCGCUUCUCGGGACGGGACGUCACAGCCUCCAACACAACCAACUCUCACUGAGCUUGGGAGGAUUAGGGACUCUGAGCACACCCUCCCCCCAAUUUCUGACAGCAGGGUAAUGGAGCCAAACUUCCAGCCAGAGAUUCACCCCACUGUACCCAAAGCCAGGAAAAAACACUGAGGGAGGAAGAAAGUCUUCUCUUCUCUGUGUGGGUGAUGAGGAAUAGCUCAGGUCAGGGAGGCCGGGGGCUUAGGGGGAGGCGCAGCGGGCUUCAGGAAAUCAGGGCGUGCUUAAGGAUCAGGAAGACACCCAGAAGCCUUCUUCGGCUUGGCUGGUACCACACCCUUGUCCCCCAGGCCUGGACACAGGGGGCUGGUCUGGAUGGAAAUAUUGUGAAAUAAGGCAGAAGGAGGAAGUAAGCCGGAGACAGAGAAGGAAGGAGACAGAGAGAGAAAGGAAAAUGAGAGAGAGAAAAGAAAGAAACAAAGAAAAAGACAGAGAAAGAAAAAGAAAGAAAAAAAAGAGAGAGAGAAAACAGGAGGGAGGGAGACAGAGAAAGGAAAAUGAGAGAGAAAACGGAAGGAGACAGAGGGAGAAAGGAAAAUGAGAAACAAAGAAAAUGAAAGUGUACGAGAGAAAACAGAAGGAGGAAGGGAAACAAAACAGGGAGAAAAGAAAAUGAGAGAGAGAGAAAACAGAAGGAGGGAGGGAGACGGAGAAAGGAAAAUGAGAGAAAAAGAAUGAGAGGAAGAGGGAGAACAGGCAGGUUUUUGGCCAGUGUGUGCAGUGAUUUCAGAGGCCAAGAAUGAGGCCUAUUUCCUUCCCUUUGUUUCUCGGAGUAGCCUUUUCCCAGGUCCCAAUGCAGAGGGGGAAUGAGGCUGGUCAAUACAAUAAUUGCUUGGAAAACAGGCAGGCACGGGGAGGCCCGUCCGGGACAGCUUCCUGGUAUUAUGGAGACUCGGGGUUGGAGGCUGCUGCUGCUUAGACUAAAGAGGGGAAAAGAGGCACAAAAGAGACACUUUCCUCAAGUUGCUGUAGGACCUGCAGGGCCGGCCUCAGUGGGCCCGGGGUGUGGACGCCACUCUAGUCUCUUCCUUCAGAUAAGCCGGGCUUCCCCAGAAGCCCGUGCUGAUUUUCUCCCGAUGGAGCCAGAAGCUAAAGUCUUCCUCCACGGCUGGUGCUGGGAAACAUUUGAGUAAAACACGGCCCGUCAGAGCCAGAAGGGAUCUGGGGGACCCUUGUCCUAUAGAGGAGAAGGACCGGGGGGCGGGAUAGAGCUCAGUCCCAGAGUGGGAAAAGGUGCCGCAGUUAGUGACAGGUCAGGAGAGCAAGCCUACUAACCACCCAGCUCCCCUCGUUUGGGUGCUGCAGCAAGCGCCAGGGGGGUACCCUGGGCCUCGGUCUCCAUGAAGAGAAGCCUCCAGAAGCGAAGCAGUCCCUGCCUCAGUGAGCUCAUGUGGUGCUGGAGGAGAUGGAAGAAGGAGUGAAAAAGCAAGAGACGCAGGGUGCCGGGCUGGGCCCUGCCACGGGGCCCAGUGGGGAAUGGCUUCCUGGAAAAGGGAGGCAGCCCCGGGGCUGCUCAGUGAAGAUGAUCCGUAAGGUGCACGGGAGUCGCUCGGGACCCUCUUCUCCCCCAGGCCCCACUUGAGCUGCUAGGUCAGAGCCUUACGUCUCCUGUUGGAACCACACCCCGCCAGACGCCCGGCCGGCCGUUGGGCCUUAGGAGUCUCUUGAGGGAGGGGCCCCUGCUCAGAGGCCCUGGUCCCCGGUUUUGGAAUCCUUAAGUCCAAGCAGUUCCCUGGGGUCUCCGGAGGACCUAGAGCCGGUGGGGUGCUGGAAGGUUGGGAUCUGCCACCCUUUAGGCUCCUCUCUCCGCCUUGUCACCGAGAUCUCGGUUACGUCCCCCCUACUUGCUGGGGCCGUCUCCCCAGUUACCCCGUCUCCCUUAAGCUCCCUCCCAUCCCUAAGUCUUGAACCUGGGGAGCCAGGCUGGGCCCCCAGGGAGGGGGGGGGGCGACCUCGGCCACGGUUUGUCUCUGUAGCUCCUCGGUGCCCGGCAUGGAAGAGAGAUUCAAAAAAGGUUUCUAUGGGCCUCCUUUUGGGCUGAGGGAUGGGGAAGGG
rnacentral:lncRNA from 1 species